rnacentral:ncRNA from 1 species
CCGCCGAAAAGGCAAGCCAAGCGAAAGUUUGGUGCGCAAAAGCCAGUAUCCAGGUUAUUGCUCCAGAAGUUAAUGACAAAGAUAGCUGGGUUGCCGAA